CACGUUUAUGUUUUCUAGUCGCAAAUACAAUAAGGAUCUACUUAGGAGAGACUCAGUGAAAAGCGACGGUUCUCCUGAAAUAUUAUCUGAAAAUGAGUCUAAGACCUGUAACAUUUUAUUGUCUUGUGACCACACUACUUAUAGAUACUGUUGAUGCCGUUGAAGAAAGGAACUCCUGUAACGGGGUGCAAUGUCGUAGUACGAUUUCAAUGCCGCUUAUAGAUGGUAUGAAAGCGACACUGAAAGCUGAUCUGGACGUGACGGAUCUUAACGAGGCUAUUAACCUGUAUAUUCAAAAAGAAGUAGAAGCGAGAAUUGCAGUUGUGUUGAACAGAACUUUAGAAAGUUCCGUGAAUACUAAGAUGGAAGAAGCCAUAUCAAAUAUUCAGGAUAGCAUAAAAGGUCACAAAAAGUAUGCAUUUUUUGCUACUCUGAGUUCCGAAAAGAACGACCUGUCGUCAGGAACUGUGGUGACAUUUGACAAAGUGGAUCUGGAUGAAGGCAACGCUUAUGAUGGAUCAACAGGCAAAUUCACGUGCUUAGAAGAUGGCUUAUACCACUUUUCUUGGACAACAGUGUCAAGAGAAAAGAGGGACUUUACAAGUAAUUUGUUGGUUAAUGGACGGAUAAUUGCUUCCAAUGUUGUCGACAGCGAUUCUGUAUCCGACUCCAUGUCAGGGACAGUUAAUAUUAUCGUCAAAAUGGUAACAGGAGAGAAAGCUUGGAUUGCUGUUCAAGGAAGUGACGGCAAAAAUUUGCGAGAUGACUGGUCUAAUAACCCUUGUUCUAUGUUCUCUGGGUUCAAAAUAUGAAAAAAACAAGGAUUUGUUCGAUUCCGUUAAUUGGUAAAUAAUACGGUUUCUAUUUAUAGAAUAAAAAAAGUCUUAUGUCUGUAUGAUAAGAUAUAUAGACUUUAUAGCAGAAACAUAAUCAAAAGGGAAAACCACCAACAAUCGAUACCUAGAGAAUAUGCACGAUGCAAAUACAGAAUAACGCAGUAUUUGUACCGACAUAUACGAACAAAGAGAACGUAAAGUGGAACUUCCUGACAGUGCGAACUCUAUUUAAAUAUAGAUUGAAAUGUCUUCAUGAAUUCGAUACCUAUCGAUGACUUUUACUAUCUUAAUCAAAUAUACUCUCAUAACUGUAAUAUUCUGCUUUUUUCCAUUUUAGAUUUAUUACAAAAAAACCAAGUAAGCAUUGAACAAGGUAUAUUUGAUAGAAAGAAAAAUAAACAUAGACUUUUUAACAUUUGUAUGAUGCAUACAGUUAAGGAAUAAUUCAUGGAAGCCAUAGAUUUGUUGGAAAUUUACACAUGGCCUGGACCGUGAUAUUCGAAUUCUAUCCUGAGCGUUAGCGAGGGAUAAAACUAGCGAAUAUCACGGCCUAGGCCAUGUGUGAAUUUCCAACAAAUCUAUGGCUUCCAUGAAUUAUUUCGAUUCUAAUAGGACAAAUUUAUACGGUCAUUAAAAAACUGAAGCGAGGGUGGAUAUACCGUGUGUGUGACUGCUCUAUUUUACCCCCUGUUAGAUAAAGCUAAAAAAAUCUAAUAAAUCUAUAGCUUGUAUGAAUUAUUUCUUAAAUAACCACUAGAAAAAAUGUGUUUAAUUCUUUUAAUUCUCAAACCCAAAAUUUGCCAUUUUGAAUUUACAUUUUUUUCUCGCAAGCUACCGUCAAAUCCACUGUUGACAUUUCGUAACUAAGGAGUCGCGAUGUUUAUAUACUGAAAUCAGUAAAUGUGUGAAUAAUGCAAUAGAAAAGACAAUAAAACAACACCUAUCUCAAAACUCGAUUUUAAUGCAAUAUUAUCCGAAUUUGGAGGGUUAACCUUCUUAGUGCGGACCGAAACUUCAAAACACUGUCCAGAAACGGGAUCAAUUCAGUAUAAAAUAACAUAAACAGUAUAUAGUUAUAAAACAGCAUGUUACUUUGCAUAAUUAAAGAUUUACUAAGAUAUAAAGUCAAGAGGUUUAUUUUUUAAAUAACGUUAUUUGUAUGACAUAACAUCACGUCAAAAUGGUGUUCACGUCACGUCCUAAUGAAGUUUACCGCUUUUCAAUAUUAGUUAACGUCAAGCACUUUGCAAUGCUUAGAAGAAAACAGUCAUUUUUUGUAACACAGCACCAUGAUACGAAAUUUCAAUUCAGUUGUACAUAUGUUUUGUGGAUUAUUUAUAACCUAUAAAAUUAAUGGUUCUUUUGUUUUAAUCGA